rnacentral:rRNA from 1 species
UACGUAGGUGGCAAGCGUUGUCCGGAUUUAUUGGGCGUAAAGAGCGUGUAGGCGGCCAGACAGGUCCGUUGUGAAAACUGGAGGCUCAACCUCCAGACGUCGAUGGAAACCGUCUGGCUAGAGUCCGGAAGAGGAGAGUGGAAUUCCUGGUGUAGCGGUGGAAUGCGCAGAUAUCAGGAAGAACACCCGUGGCGAAAGCGGCUCUCUGGGACGGUACUGACGCUGAGACGCGAAAGCGUGGGGAGCGAACAGG